rnacentral:rRNA from 1 species
CCUACGGGAGGCAGCAGUGGGGAAUAUUGGGCAAUGGGCGCAAGCCUGACCCAGCAACGCAGCGUGAAGGAAGAAUGCUCUCUGGUUGUUAACUUCCUUUUAUAGGGGAGUGCAGAAGACGGUACCUCUUGGAUAAGCUACAGCUAACUACGUGCGAGCAGCCGCGGUAAUACGGAGGUGCCAAGCGAUGUCCGGAUUUACUGGGUGUAAAGGGUGUGCAGCCGGGAAGAGAAGUCAGAUGUGAAAUCUCGCGGCUCAACCGCGGAACUGCAUUUGAAACUGUUUUUCUUGAGUACAGGAGAGGUAAGCGGAAUGCGUUGUGUAGCGGUGAAAUGCGUAGAUAUAACGAAGAACACCGGUGGCGAAGGCGGACGGCUGGACUGUAACUGACGGUGAUGCGCGAAAGUGUGGGGAGCAAACAGGAUUAGAUACCCGGGUAGUC